GUGGUUGCAACAACAAAUGCCUUACAAAUGGUGGCAAAAGGGAGCCAAGAAGAAACAGCUUGAUCCAUUUUCUAAGAAAGACUGGUAUGGCAUGAAAGCACUAGCUACGUUCAAUAUAAGAAAUAUUAGAAAAACGCUUGCCACCAGGACUCGAGGAACCUACAUUUUAUCUAAUGAUCUCAAGGGUACUAUCUUUGAAGUGAGCCUUUCUGAUCUGAAGAAUGAUGUUGUAUUUAGAAAGUUCAAGCUAAUUACUGAGGAUGUUCAGGAUAAAAACUGCUUAACGUCCAUGGCAUGAAUCUUACUUGUGACAAAAUGUGUUUCACGGUCAAAAAAUGGCAGACCAUACCUGAAGUUCACGUCAAUGUCAAGACUACCAAUGGCUAUUUGAUUUGUCUAUUCUGUGUUAGUUUUACAAAAAAAAAAAAAAAAUACAACAAUCAGAUACAGAAGACCUCUUAUUCUCAGCACCAACAGGUCUGCCAAAUCCAGAAGAAGAUGAUGAAGCUUCCCACCCAAGAGGUGCAGAGAGAUUUCCUGAAAGAAGCAGUUAAUAAAUGGAUCCCACGCAGCUUUGAAAAACUCAUUAAAAGGUCAUAAAAAGAUUUGCCAAUUUAUUUAUACUCUCAAUGAUGUCUUCACUAGAAAAUUCAAAGUUUGAACUGGGAAAACUUGAAGGUAGUAGUUCUUGAAAAGCUUAUGGAUAUGAACUGCCAGUCCAAGAAUCUGUUUAA
rnacentral:lncRNA from 1 species